AGAAUACAGAUUACUUUACUGGUGACUUCUUGGAUAAGCAGCCAAUUCUGCUCACCUGUUUAAAUAUCACUGAGGAAGAACUCUUAAAGUGGUUCACUUAUGGAACAUAAUUCGUAAGAUUAGAGAUACUAUUGCUCCAAGUUGCCGGUCCUACAUGAUGUAUACCCUUCCACGGCUUUUUGGUGAACAAGACAAUCUCAAACAGGUUUUUGAGCAAGUGGCGGAAACUUGCACAGUCCAACGUCUUCAGAGGACCGUUCACACGUGAUGAGACAGUUCGAAGUAUCAUACCUUCUGAUGACAGAGAACUUUCUUCAUGCACCGUCCACACAUGAUGAAACAAUUGAGUUAUGCUUAUUUUUAAGAGCUUAUAUACACACAAACCUGUGACACGUGUGAUAUUUUCUUGUAAAAAAAGAGUUUGUGGAGCAAAUGACCUUGUGAGCCUGUCCAGAAUGAACCUGUCACUUUCCCACACAGUCAGAAUUAGGCAGCUGCAGACCCCACAACCCAUAAAGGACAGGCAGUCAAAGAAAUACAGAUGGAGGGGGAAAAAACAGACCUCUGUUUUCUUCGAUUCCCAUGUA